UAGGGAAUCUUCGGCAAUGGACGAAAGCCUGACCGAGCAACGCCGCGUGAGUGAAGAAGGUUUUCGGAUCGUAAAACUCUGUUGUUAGAGAAGAACAAGGACGUUAGUAACUGAACGUCCCCUGACGGUAUCUAACCAGAAAGCCACGGCUAACUACGUGCCAGCAGCCGCGGUAAUACGUAGGUGGCAAGCGUUGUCCGGAUUUAUUGGGCGUAAAGCGAGCGCAGGCGGUUUCUUAAGUCUGAUGUGAAAGCCCCCGGCUCAACCGGGGGGGGUCAUUGGAAACUGGGAGACUUGAGUGCAGAAGAGGAGAGUGGAAUUCCAUGUGUAGCGGUGAAAUGCGUGAAUAUAUGGAGGAAAACCAGUGGCGAAGGCGGCUCUCUGGUCUGUAACUGACGCUGAGGCUCGAAAGCGUGGGGAGCAAACAGG
rnacentral:rRNA from 1 species